GAGAUCUUUCACCAAAGCUACUGCAUGCACAGAUGAGAUCAAAAUUUGCUAUAUCCCAUGUUAAACACCUGGUGUUAGCAUAUGGAAACCCCUGUAAAGGUGACUUUAAGCUUUUACAGGUUUAACUUUUUUUAGCCUACUGUCUUCCAAACUUUUCAAUCAUGGAAGUUUUUCUUGAGGCAUUUCUUAACAUUUUACAGAACUUGAGUCCUAUGGAGCACAUCUUGGGAAGUAAUAUUGACAAACACAGAACCAAAGCUCAACUAUAAAGAGCAAACCACAGACCUAAAAGUGCAAGCAGGCCUCUGAAGUAGCCACAAGAAAAAUAGGUGGAACAAAGCAAAUGAACUUGAAUGCGGCAAACAAAGGACCUGUCCCCUCACUUCAAUUCAGAACAGCUCUGAUGGACCAUCUCAGUUCCAGAACCCACCAUACCUGAUUGCCUUCCAGAAAGAAACAGAAAAGAUAAUGAUUAAGGAAUCAAGAAAAAUGUGUUUUGUUUAUGCUUCUGUCUUUUAAGCAAAGCACAGAGAAACGCCCAUAUAAGUGGAGCACACAUAAUUAACUGGGACCUCCAUGACUUUGUAAGUGGAGAUCUUGGAGAAUGACUCACAUUUUCAGGCAGAGAACUCUUGCUAGAAUUCCAGUCUAACAUUUUGAAGGCAUCAUCAACUGGAAGCAUCCAGAGAUACAGAAAUUACUAGAGUGCCACAUUGUGUGUUGAAAGGUUAAAUUGCAACAUCCUGAACUGUUUCUUCAGCCAGGGAGGACAAUUGAUGAUGUUGCACAGGAAAUGUCAUGGCUGUCAUGGGACUACCAAAAGAGGAAUCAAUGUUCAGUUAUACUUCCCACCAAAAUUCAGAAAACAAAGAGGGUAGAGUCCCAGGAAGAAACAUAGAAGAUUUAAAAGCUCACAGAUGAGGAACUGACAUCUAGUAAAAGAUCAACAUUGAACAUUGGCUCAGUAGCAGAGCCAUAAUAGAACCCUGGACUCAUGAUGGCUUCAGAGGAUUCUUCCCACCUUCCCUGAUUAAUUCCAAAAUAGAACAGCAAUCCUGAACAAGUCAGGGGUGGAUUUGCCAAAGGACAUGCCUGACUCCAUGAAUGUUAGUCAGGCUGGAACACAAACAACUUUAAAAAACAGACUGCAGAGCAUCAUAAAUUGAACCUACCUGAAACUGGGCGUGUGCUUCCAGACAGGUCCAGGAGCCAUCCAGACAUUCAUGUACUUUUUUUUUUUUUUUUGUAUGUCAGCUGCUGCAUGAGUAUUUUGAGAAGCACUUUGAGAAUUCACAGCAGGAACCUGGCUUUUGUGUUUCGAAUGUGCCAGCUUUAUUGCAGCUCAAACAGAAAUAAAAG